rnacentral:rRNA from 1 species
UACGGGGGGAGCAAGCGUUGUUCGGAUUUACUGGGCGUAAAGGGCGCGUAGGCGGUCAGCACAAGUCAGUUGUGAAAUCUCCGGGCUUAACUCGGAAAGGUCAACUGAUACUGUGCGACUAGAGUGCAGAAGGGGCAACUGGAAUUCUUGGUGUAGCGGUGAAAUGCGUAGAUAUCAAGAGGAACACCUGCGGCGAAGGCGGGUUGCUGGGCUGACACUGACGCUGAGGCGCGAAAGCUAGGGGAGCGAACGGG